AUACAAAGUUCAAAAUAACCACAACAACAAUAAUAAUAAAUCCGUGAAUUUUCAAAUAAUUGAUUUUGUUUCGCGAAAUGAAGUACACGGACGUUAAUUUCAUUGCAAAUAAUUUCAACCACCGGUUUCUUGAGUAAUUUUAUCGGUAACGCUGAAAAUGUCUUGUGUAGCUUUUGGCUGCAAAAACCGUUCGUCAAGAAAGUCAAAAAAGCAAACUAAGAAUGAAAGCGACAAUAAAAUCACUUUCCACAAAUAAGUUGACGUCUUCGAAAAUUUUUUAUUUAAUAUAUUUGCUAAAAUAAUGCAUAUGUUAGCACUUAUAUUCACCCUAACCAGCGUAGGUGUUUGGUUAUAAUGUAGAAAUAAAUUUUGUCACAAAUACGGUCUCAGAUAUAUUAUAAUGAAGCCUUUGGAUCCAAGUUAAAACAAAUAAUUCCUUUUUAAUCUGGAGGAGUUGUGAUUUUGCGUCUGUCAUUACAACUCCUACCUUAUUAUAACAUUUUUUUUCACUAAAUUCGUUUUCGGGUUUUGGGUACUACUGAUAAGAUAUUAGGUAGCAAAUUGUAGUUUGACAAAUAUUAACUCAAUUUUUGUGUGGCACCCCUAAAAAGUGUUAAUCCUUAACUUUGUCAGUAAAAUAAUAAUAAUAAAAAAACAUAAUAAGCAAUGAAUACUUAAGAGUUAAAGGCUUUAAAUUAAAUUCUGAAAAUAGUAUUGGUUGUUGGCUUUGUUUUACUAGCCUAAAACAUAUAUUUAAACUCUGACUAUAGUUUCUGUGUGUGUUUGUUGCUAAAUUGCGCUACUCAGCUUCCUGGAGUGCGAGUGGAGUGAGCACAGAUGGCACAACCAUCUUCCCGCUGUGUUUAUUGUCUAAGUUAGUUAAUUAUUUGGAAACAGUGAUAACACUUUUAGGUUUGGUGCCCUUACAAGAUGCUGGGGAUUUGCGAUAAAUUUUGUGAUUUCCCAAAGAUCCAGUUAGGCGUGCUCGGUGGAUAAAAGCUGUACGUAGGAAAGACUGGACACCGUCGUCAUUUAGUUUGCUGUGCUCACAGCAUUUUUCUGACGACUGUUUUGACAAAACAUCUCUUUGCGUGGUGAGAUUAAAGGACCAUGCUGUACCAUCGAUUUUCCCUGCAUACCCAGCACACUUGCAGAGGCGGCUGAAUAAGAAUGUUCGAAUACAGGAAAACUCGCUGAAUUUGGAACCUUUAGAAAUGGUAUCUGUUACAAUUAAGGACGAGGCUAUGGAUGAUUUAACGGAACUACACGUAGCACAGAUGAGACUGUAACACGAAACACCUGGUUUGUGAAGGCAGCGUAUGAAGACAGUCCAUCGUGCAAGCAGUUCAGAGAUGUUGCUUCAGGUAUGUGCCUCUGUGAAGAUGUAGGGUGAAGGUACCUUGAAGAGAAGUGAGCUCCGAUACCAUCUAGCUGUUGGCUUCUCGCUCUUAAAACAUGCAGGUAUGUCCUUUUGUGAAGGUAAAGACCGGUCUUUGUGGGAACUUAGUUGCUGAAAUAUUUCAUUGAUGUGCUACAAGUAAUACACUUUGUCACUUAAGGACUUGAAAAAUGUACUUUGUGAUUCCAUGUUUAUGAUUUAGUAGGAACCUCAAAGAAUGUAGUUUGUUCUGAUACCACUUAGCUGCUGACUCCUCACUUACAAACUAGAUAGUGUGCUUGGAGAGAGAGUAUUUAAUACCAGUUCUGUUGUGCCAUACAUAAACAGAACUUGUUUUGCACCUAUUGCUUAUUCAUUUAUCUCACAAAAAAAGUACGGACAUUAAAGAGGAAAGAAGCGUAAGUUGUGGCCAGGAUUUAAGUUCUUAGUUAUAUCUACAUGGCCUAGAUAGUUCAUAAAUUUUGCUAACUCUAAACUGGAAACAUUACAUGCCCUUUUAAGGAUUUUCAUGUGAGUUAUAUUACACCUACAGAAAUAGUAAAAUGAGGCUCACCUACAAAUAUGAACUCUGUGGGAUGUUGGUUUAAUUUACAGUUAUGUAUGACACACUCUUGAGGCUUGGGUAUUUCCGUUGAAGACAUUACAUGUAAUUUCUUUGAUAAAAGUAACGACUAAAACUAACAGUGACAGUCUGCCUGUUGUGACAUACUGCUCCUGGGAAAGCAUCCAUUUUAAGCACAAUAUCUAUAAGUAGAUGUGAUAUUUUCACAUAAAGUCAUCUGUUAAAAAUCAAUUCAAUAUCUUAUUGUUAUUUAAACAUACUAAAUUACUUUGAACUUGUUUCAGCUUUUGCUGUUCAAGACAUUAAGACUCUGGACAGAAACAACAAAAGCUGGAAUCAUUAAAUGUACUGACCUUUCAUUGGAAAUAGUCGACUAAACCAGUGGUUUCCACUGCUUGAAAGGGCCACUCACGAAACGAAAUGUUAAAACUUAAUACUUGUCUUAUAGCUUACAACUUAAUAGUGCAAAAUAAUUAAAAGAGAGGAAAGCUACUAGAUGGUGGUUGGCAGAUAAGUUUAUGCAUUAUUGUUAUUGGGUCUCUUACAACUGUAAGGUAAUGAAUGUUAAGAGUAUGCAAAUAAAAAUAUGUAUAUUUUUUUGAGUUUUACGUCUGCGAGUCAGCAAGAUCGUUGUACUAGUAGCCACAACAGCAGCAAAAAUCAGAAUUAUCAAGGAAGGAAGGAAUUUGCAACAUUAACAUUGAGUGAUUUUUGGGAAACAAUGGAAAACCAAAAGCAGGAUGGCUAUAUUCGACUCCAGGUCCUGUGAAUAUGGCAGCAGUGGUGCAGAUGAAAGCACUGGCCGAGGAGCCAAGACGUCGGCUCGCGAAGACGUGGAGCUCGCGCUUGCCGCUCUUCAGCACGACGGCAUGAGCUCCGCAGCGUACGGCAUCCCCUCCACCCUGCCGCGGCAGCGCGCCCGGAAAGAAGCCCCGACCAAGUCCUGGACGUAGGAGGACAUGAAGAGUGCCCUUGAGGCUCUGCGGACGGGUGUGCUCUCCGCCAGCAAGGCCAGCAAGGCUUACGGCAUUCCAAGCUACGUGCUGUGCAAGGUGGCGUACAGAGAGGGCGUACGCCUGGCACUACCCUUCAGCAUGGCUCCCACGACGUGGAGCGUGCUCUGACGGCGCUUCCUUAAAUACCAUAAAAUCCCUAGUAUUCGAAGGAUUCAAUAUGAGUUGAAAAAUAUGAUUGGAAAUGAAGUAAAUUAAAAAAUUCAGCAUUGAUAAGCUCUGAAGGUUA